AACGAACGCUGGCGGCAGGCCUAACACAUGCAAGUCGAGCGCCCCGCAAGGGGAGCGGCAAACGGGUGAGUAACACGUGGGAAUCUCCCUAGUAGUUCAGGACAACCUCGGGAAACUGAGGCUAAUACUGGAUACGCUCUACGGAGGAAAGAUUUAUCGCUAUUAGAUGAGCCCGCGUCGGAUUAGCUAGUUGGUAGGGUAAUGGCCUACCAAGGCAACGAUCCGUAGCUGGUCUGAGAGGACGACCAGCCACACUGGGACUGAAAUACGGCCCAGACUCCUACGGGAGGCAGCAGUGGGGAAUAUUGGACAAUGGACGCAAGUCUGAUCCAGCCAUGCCGCGUGAGUGAUGAAGGCCUUCGGGUUGUAAAGCUCUUUAGCAGGGGAAAAUAAUGAUGGUACCCUGAGAAUAAGCCCCGGCUAACUCCGUGCCAGCCGCCGCGGUAAAAC
rnacentral:rRNA from 1 species